rnacentral:rRNA from 1 species
GAUGAACGCUAGCGGCAGGCCUAAUACAUGCAAGUCGAACGGGAUCUGAGGGUAGCUUGCUACCCGAUUUGAGAGUGGCGCACGGGUGCGUAACGCGUGAGCAACCUACCCAUAUCAGGGGGAUAGCCCGAAGAAAUUCGGAUUAACACCGCAUAAUAAUACGCUAACACAUGGUGAUGUAUUUAAAUAUUUAUAGGAUAUGGAUGGGCUCGCGUGACAUUAGCUAGUUGGUAAGGUAACGGCUUACCAAGGCGACGAUGUCUAGGGGCUCUGAGAGGAGAAUCCCCCACACUGGUACUGAGACACGGACCAGACUCCUACGGGAGGCAGCAGUAAGGAAUAUUGGUCAAUGGGCGCAAGCCUGAACCAGCCAUGCCGCGUGCAGGAUGACUGCCCUAUGGGUUGUAAACUGCUUUUGUUAGGGAAUAAACCUUCUUACGUGUAAGGAGCUGAAUGUACCUAAAGAAUAAGGAUCGGCUAACUCCGUGCCAGCCGCCGCAGUAA